rnacentral:rRNA from 1 species
GGGUUGUGAGGUUAAGCGACUAAGCGUACACGGUGGAUGCCCUGGCAGUCAGAGGCGAUGAAGGGCGUGCUAAUCUGCGAUAAGCGCCGGUAAGGUGAUAUGAACCGUUAUAACCGGCGAUACCCGAAUGGGGAAACCCAGUGUGAUUCGUCACACUAUCAUUAACUGAAUCCAUAGGUUAAUGAGGCGAACCGGGGGAACUGAAACAUCUAAGUACCCCGAGGAAAAGAAAUCAACCGAGAUUCCCCCAGUAGCGGCGAGCGAACGGGGAGGAGCCCAGAGCCUGAAUCAGCAUGUGUGUUAGUGGAAGCGUCUGGAAAGGCGCGCGAUACAGGGUGACAGCCCCGUACACAAAAGCGCAUGUGCUGUGAGCUCGAUGAGUAGGGCGGGACACGUGGUAUCCUGUCUGAAUAUGGGGGGACCAUCCUCCAAGGCUAAAUACUCCUGACUGACCGAUAGUGAACCAGUACCGUGAGGGAAAGGCGAAAAGAACCCCGGCGAGGGGAGUGAAAAAGAACCUGAAACCGUGUACGUACAAGCAGUGGGAGCNNNNNNNNNNNNNNNNNNNNNNNNNNNNNNNNNNNNNNNNNNNNNNNNNNNNNNNNNNNNNGGGCGUUAAGUUGCAGGGUAUAGACCCGAAACCCGGUGAUCUAGCCAUGGGCAGGUUGAAGGUUGGGUAACACUAACUGGAGGACCGAACCGACUAAUGUUGAAAAAUUAGCGGAUGACCUGUGGCUGGGGGUGAAAGGCCAAUCAAACCGGGAGAUAGCUGGUUCUCCCCGAAAGCUAUUUAGGUAGCGCCUCGUGAAUUCAUCUCCGGGGGUAGAGCACUGUUUCGGCUAGGGGGCCAUCCCGGCUUACCAACCCGAUGCAAACUGCGAAUACCGGAGAAUGUUAUCACGGGAGACACACGGCGGGUGCUAACGUCCGUCGUGAAGAGGGAAACAACCCAGACCGCCAGCUAAGGUCCCAAAGUCAUGGUUAAGUGGGAAACGAUGUGGGAAGGCCCAGACAGCCAGGAUGUUGGCUUAGAAGCAGCCAUCAUUUAAAGAAAGCGUAAUAGCUCACUGGUCGAGUCGGCCUGCGCGGAAGAUGUAACGGGGCUAAACCAUGCACCGAAGCUGCGGCAGCGACACUGUGUGUUGUUGGGUAGGGGAGCGUUCUGUAAGCCUGCGAAGGUGGCCUGUGAGGGUUGCUGGAGGUAUCAGAAGUGCGAAUGCUGACAUAAGUAACGAUAAAGCGGGUGAAAAGCCCGCUCGCCGGAAGACCAAGGGUUCCUGUCCAACGUUAAUCGGGGCAGGGUGAGUCGACCCCUAAGGCGAGGCCGAAAGGCGUAGUCGAUGGGAAACGGGUUAAUAUUCCCGUACUUGGUGUUACUGCGAAGGGGGGACGGAGAAGGCUAUGUUGGCCGGGCGACGGUUGUCCCGGUUUAAGCGUGUAGGUGUGUGUUCCAGGUAAAUCCGGUUCACUUUAACACUGAGGCGUGACGACGAGGCACUACGGUGCUGAAGCAACAAAUGCCCUGCUUCCAGGAAAAGCCUCUAAGCAUCAGGUAACAUCAAAUCGUACCCCAAACCGACACAGGUGGUCAGGUAGAGAAUACCAAGGCGCUUGAGAGAACUCGGGUGAAGGAACUAGGCAAAAUGGUGCCGUAACUUCGGGAGAAGGCACGCUGACACGUAGGUGAAGUGAUUUACUCAUGGAGCUGAAGUCAGUCGAAGAUACCAGCUGGCUGCAACUGUUUAUUAAAAACACAGCACUGUGCAAACACGAAAGUGGACGUAUACGGUGUGACGCCUGCCCGGUGCCGGAAGGUUAAUUGAUGGGGUCAGCGCAAGCGAAGCUCCUGAUCGAAGCCCCGGUAAACGGCGGCCGUAACUAUAACGGUCCUAAGGUAGCGAAAUUCCUUGUCGGGUAAGUUCCGACCUGCACGAAUGGCGUAAUGAUGGCCAGGCUGUCUCCACCCGAGACUCAGUGAAAUUGAACUCGCUGUGAAGAUGCAGUGUACCCGCGGCAAGACGGAAAGACCCCGUGAACCUUUACUAUAGCUUGACACUGAACAUUGAGCCUUGAUGUGUAGGAUAGGUGGGAGGCUUUGAAGUGUGGACGCCAGUCUGCAUGGAGCCGACCUUGAAAUACCACCCUUUAAUGUUUGAUGUUCUAACGUGGACCCGUUACCCGGGUUGCGGACAGUGUCUGGUGGGUAGUUUGACUGGGGCGGUCUCCUCCUAAAGAGUAACGGAGGAGCACGAAGGUUGGCUAAUCCUGGUCGGACAUCAGGAGGUUAGUGCAAUGGCAUAAGCCAGCUUGACUGCGAGCGUGACGGCGCGAGCAGGUGCGAAAGCAGGUCAUAGUGAUCCGGUGGUUCUGAAUGGAAGGGCCAUCGCUCAACGGAUAAAAGGUACUCCGGGGAUAACAGGCUGAUACCGCCCAAGAGUUCAUAUCGACGGCGGUGUUUGGCACCUCGAUGUCGGCUCAUCACAUCCUGGGGCUGAAGUAGGUCCCAAGGGUAUGGCUGUUCGCCAUUUAAAGUGGUACGCGAGCUGGGUUUAGAACGUCGUGAGACAGUUCGGUCCCUAUCUGCCGUGGGCGCUGGAGAACUGAGGGGGGCUGCUCCUAGUACGAGAGGACCGGAGUGGACGCAUCACUGGUGUUCGGGUUGUCAUGCCAAUGGCACUGCCCGGUAGCUAAAUGCGGAAGAGAUAAGUGCUGAAAGCAUCUAAGCACGAAACUUGCCCCGAGAUGAGUUCUCCCUGAGACUUAGAGUCUCCUGAAGGAACGUUGAAGACGACGACGUUGAUAGGCCGGGUGUGUAAGCGCAGCGAUGCGUUGAGCUAACCGGUACUAAUGAACCGUGAGGCUUAACCUUACAACGCCGAAG